rnacentral:tRNA from 1 species
GCCGGGGUGGUGGAAUUGGCAGACACAUACGUUUGAGGGGCGUAUGCCUUACAGCGUGCGGGUUCAAAUCCCGCCUCCGGCA